GUAGUCAUAUGCUUGUCUCAAAGAUUAAGCCAUGCAUGUCUAAGUAUAAGCAAUUAUACCGUGAAACUGCGAAUGGCUCAUUAAAUCAGUUAUCGUUUAUUUGAUAGUACCUUACUACUUGGAUAACCGUGGUAAUUCUAGAGCUAAUACAUGCUUAAAACCCCGACUUCGGAAGGGGUGUAUUUAUUAGAUAAAAAACCAACGCCCUUCGGGGCUUCUUGGUGAUUCAUGAUAACUUUUCGGAUCGCAUGGCCUUGCGCCGGCGACGGUUCAUUCAAAUUUCUGCCCUAUCAACUUUCGAUGGUAAGUUAGUGGCUUACCAUGGUUUCAACGGGUAACGGGGAAUUAGGGUUCGAUUCCGGAGAGCGAGCCUGAGAAACGGCUAGCACAUCCAAGGAAGGCAGCAGGCGCGCAAAUUACCCAAUCCCAAUACGGGGAGGUAGUGACAAUAAAUACUGAUACAGGGCUCUUUUGGGUCUUGUAAUUGGAAUGAGUACAAUUUAAACCUCUUAACGAGGAACAAUUGGAGGGCAAGUCUGGUGCCAGCAGCCGCGGUAAUUCCAGCUCCAAUAGCGUAUAUUCAAGUUGCUGCAGUUAAAAAGCUCGUAGUUGGAUUUCUGGUUAUUAAUAUAUCUGGCCCGCCGGAUAUGUCCGUGCGUGUGCUGAUAUGUUUUGACCAUCCUUCUAAUUUAUAUAUCAUUCGUGGCAACACUUAUGGUAUAUGGGUUAGAUCAUUGACUUUGAACAAAUUAGAGUGUUUCAGGCAGGCAAUAUUGCUAUGAAUACAUGAGCGUGGAAUCAUCAGUUUCUCGCGCUUCGGCUUGAUUCUGGUUGGUUUUCAGCUGAAGUCAUAUGAUGGAUAGGGACAGUUGGGGGUGCUAGUAUUCAUUGGCCAGAGGUGAAAUUCUUGGAUUCAAUGAAGACUAACUACAGCGAAAGCAUUCACCAAGGAUGUGCUCUUUGAUCAAGAACGAAAGUUGGGGGAUCCAAGACGAUCAGAUACCGUCGUAGUCUCAACCAUCAACGUUACCGACUAGGGAUCAGUAUGAGUUUUAAACAUAUCUCGAUAUGUUUUUAUAGACCAUAUUGGCACCUUGUGAGAAAUCAAAGUCUUUGGGUUCCGGGGGGAGUAUGGUCGCAAGGCUGAAACUUAAAGGAAUUGACGGAAGA
rnacentral:rRNA from 1 species